GUGCAGCAGUCGCGAAUAGUCUACAAUGGACGAAAGUCUGAUAGUGCGACGCCGUGUGUGCGAUUAAUUCCUUCGGGAUGUAAAGCACUUUUCUAUGAGAUAAAAGCUCUUUAGGUUAAUAGCUUAUUGAGACGGAUAUUAUUAUAGGAAUAAGCUCCGGCUAACUCCGUGCCAGCAGCCGCGGUAAUACGGAAGGAGCGAGCGUUGUCCGGAUUUACUAGGCGUAAAGGGCUAGUAGGCGACUAAUUAAGUUAUAUGUUAAAUCCCACGGCUCAACUGUGGUCCUGCAUGUAAUACUGGUUAGAUAGAGUACUGUAGAGGAAGGCAGAAUUCCUGGAGUAGCGGUGGAAUGCGCAGAUAUCAGGAAGAAUACCAAAAGCGAAGGCAGCCUUCUGGGCAGUUACUGACGCUGAAUAGCGAAGGUGUGGGUAGCGAACAGGAUUAGAUACCCCCGUAGU
rnacentral:rRNA from 1 species